GACGAACCGAGCGAACGUUGUUCGGAAUCACUGGGCUUAAAGGGCGCGUAGGCGGGCUGCCAAGUCCGGGGUGAAAGCCUCCGGCUCAACCGGAGAACGGCCUCGGAUACUGGCGGCCUGGAGGCGGGUAGGGGCGUGCGGAACUGUAGGUGGAGCGGUGAAAUGCGUUGAUAUCUACAGGAACUCCGGUGGCGAAAGCGGCGUGCUGGACCUUUUCUGACGCUGAGGCGCGAAAGCUAGGGGAGCAAACGGG
rnacentral:rRNA from 1 species